UUCCCAUCAUACUACGUUACUACUCUAUGUCCGUCUCUAUUAUUUUUGUGUUGUAGAUUGCCUUCUGGUAGUAUAUCUAUAUAAUAAACAGCCAGUACUCACUUAUAACACAGAGGCGCUAGAAUGUACAUUGAUCAGCCACAUUAAAACCACUGACAGAUGGAGUGAAUAACACCGAUUAUAUUAUUACAGUGGCACCUGUCACUAAAUGGAAUGUAUUAGACAGCAAGCUAACAGUCAGGUAGAAUGAGAAUGGUAGAAUGAGAUUUCAUGUGUUGGAAGCAGGAAAAAUGGACAGACGAAAAGAUCUGGGUAACUUUGACAAGUACCAAAUAGUUACAUAGCUGAAAAGAAACUUGCGUCCAUCAAGUUCAGCCUUCCUUGUUUUUUGCUGUUGAUCCAAAAGAAGGCAAAAAAAAAAGUUUGAAGCACAAUUUUGCAACAAACUAGGAAAAAAAAUCCUUCUUGACCCCAGAAUGGCAGUCAGAUUUAUCCUUGGAUCAAGCAGUUAUUACCCUACAUUGAAAGAUUAUAUCCUUGAAUAUUCUGUUCUUGCAAGUAUGCAUCUAGUAGCCGUUUGAACAUCUGUAUGGACUCUGAUAAAACCACUUCCUCAGGCAGAAAAUUCCACAUCCUGAUUGUUCUUACAGUAAAAAAAAACUUUCCUUUGCCUUAGACACACAUUUGCUAUAAGCAGAAUAUUUAAGCUCUCUAUAUAACACAGAAAAUAAAUACUUUAGCACUUUUUAGAACACACAGCCACUAGAAGUGAAAUACUUUACUUGUUGGGUGAUCUAAGGUUUUAUAUGUAUGGAAUUUAGAUCUAAUAAAAUCAGGUUGUAUACACAUAGAGCCUUCACAGACCCUGUAGUUCUUUGUUGUAAGCGGUGAUAUAAACACUUAUGAACGGCAGAUGGCAAAU